rnacentral:rRNA from 1 species
CGGUAAUUCCAGCUCCAAUAGCGUAUAUUAAAGUUGUUGCAGUUAAAAAGCUCGUAGUUGAACCUUGGGCUUGGUUGGCCGGUCCGCCUUUUUGGCGAGUACUGGACCCAACCGAGCCUUUCCUUCUGGCUAACCUUUCGCCCUUGUGGUGUUUGGCGAACCAGGACUUUUACUUUGAAAAAAUUAGAGUGUUCAAAGCAGGCCUUUGCUCGAAUAUAUUAGCAUGGAAUAAUAGAAUAGGACGUUAUGGUUCUAUUUUGUUGGUUUCUAGGACCAUCGUAAUGAUUAAUAGGGACGGUCGGGGGCAUCAGUAUUCAGUUGUCAGAGAUGAAAUUCUUGGAUUACCUGAAGACUAACUACUGCGAAAGCAUUUGCCAAGGACGUUUUCAUUAAUCAAGAACGAAAGUUAGGGGAUCGAAGAUGAUCAGAUACCGUCGUAGUCUUAACCAUAAACUAUGCCGACUAGGGAUCGGGUGUUGUUCUUUUUUUGACGCACUCGGCACCUUACGAGAAAUCAAAGUCUUUGGGUCCUGGGGGGAGUAUGGUCGCAAGGCUGAAACUUAAAGGAAUUGACGGAAGGGCACCACCAGGAGUGGAGCCUGCGGCUUAAUUUGACUCAACACGGGGAAACUCACCAGGUCCAGACACAAUAAGGAUUGACAGAUUGAGAGCUCUUUCUUGAUUUUGUGGGUGGUGGUGCAUGGCCGUUCUUAGUUGGUGGAGUGAUUUGUCUGCUUAAUUGCGAUAACGAACGAGACCUUAACCUACUAAAUAGUGCUGCUAGCUUUUGCUGGUAUAGUCACUUCUUAGAGGGACUAUCGAUUUCAAGUCGAUGGAAGUUUGAGGCAAUAACAGGUCUGUGAUGCCCUUAGACGUUCUGGGCCGCACGCGCGCUACACUGACGGAGCCAACGAGUAUUAACCUUGGCCG